rnacentral:rRNA from 1 species
AUUGAACGCUGGCGGCAGGCCUAACACAUGCAAGUCGAGCGAGCGGCGGACGGGUGAGUAAUGUCUGGGAAACUGCCUGAUGGAGGGGGAUAACUACUGGAAACGGUAGCCAAUACAGCAUACCAUCGGAUGUGCCCCGAGGGGAUUAGCUAGUAGGUGGGGUAACGGCUCACCUCGGCGACGCUCCCUCGCUGGUCUGAGAGGAUGACCAGCCACACUGGAACUGAGACACGGUCCAGACUCCUACGGGAGGCAGCAGUGGGGAAUAUUGCACAAUGGGCGCAAGCCUGAUGCAGCCAUGCCGCGUGUAUGAAGAAGGCCUUCGGGUUGUAAAGUACUUUCAGCGGGGAGGCGUUACCCGCAGAAGAAGCACCGGCUAACUCCGUGCCAGCAGCCGCGGUAAUAC